UUUACAAUUAGAUUUUUCUUCAGCUAUGUUUUUAAGCAUAUAUGUUCAUCCUCAACCUCUGUAAUAACUCGCAUUGCAACUCUUCUUGUUUUAGACAAGUUCUAUUUGAUCAUUCGCUGAGGAUAAUUCGUUAAGCAUUAUUAGCGUACAGCAUGUAUGUUUAUUAUCGAUCGGAAACUGAUUUUUAAGGCCUUUUACUUUUUCGUGGAUUUUCUUCAAUCGCUGAUGGCGGUGGAAGGAAGACUGAGUCCUUUACUUUGCAGGAAAAAGCCCUACCUCCUUGGACGUAAAAUGGCAGUGUGAUCUCAAGGAAUCUCGGAAAGAGUAAACAGGCUGGAGUUAUUUUUGGUUGCUAGCACAACACAAUGCAAGAAUGUCUUUCCGAACAAUUGUUUGGUUUGCUUACCAGUACCUUUGCUGAUCAACCUUUUAUUUUCAAGAAAUUUACGGUUCUCUUUUCUCUCAUUUAUGCGAUAUCAAAUGGAUAUGUAAUGCUUUAACUUCUCCAAUAGGAUUUCCGGCUUCGCAAUUCUAAUAUGUACGAAAUAUCGAUCCUGGUUUGCCUCUGUUUCUCAUCAACUACAGUGUUAGGAAGUUUCAUGGUGUAUUUGAGGCUACUAGCCAAGGUGACCAGAAUAUUAGUCCAUAUGCUUGGACUGCUGAUGGCAUGGAUUAUACUCCAUAUUCUGCACAGGAUCUCUUAUUAUUUUGUUGAUGAGGUUAAAUAAGACUGCGGAUGCAGUGCCGCCUCUUGUUGAAAGAUCAGUUAGGCCGAUCAUUUCUGACAAUUGUUAUGAGCCAAAGCUUUUUUUGGUUUGAACUGGACCAACGACAGAUAAACAGGUUGAUUGCUUUGUUUUCAUCUUCACCUAUCUUGGAGACUGUUUCCCAUCGCAAUGAGUGAGAAGUUUCUCGAAAGCUUUGCAAACUAUCAAUGUAAGAGAAGCCAGCAACAAUAGUGAGGUGUUUUCUUCAAAUAUAAAUGUUGCUUGUCUAGAUUCAAAGAAAAAGUGGAGAUCCUAGUUCAAGGUCUCCCCUACAAAUGCGAGAGAGGAUGGUGAAAAUUUAAGGAAACCAACAUAGGAAUUAAACCUUUCAACUUCAAAUCAUUCUGGCUACGAGUGGGAGGACCUUUCUUGUACAUCACAUUCUCCUGAAGAAGAAAGCAAGUCUUGUGAAGCUCCUUCCAAUGGUUCUUGAAGACAUAGUGAAAUUGAAGAAUGUCCAUUGUUCAAAUAAGGAAAUGAAAUAUACUCUUCUUCCUAUUAUGAUGUCAAAGUUGAAGAUGAAGAGUACAAGUCAGCGAGCUGCUUUGGAGGUGAAAUGUUCCUUGGUCAAAUCUUGAAGAUGUAGCAGAAAAUAUCAAAGGCGAUGCACUAAGCGACGAAGAGAAUUUGUUAGAGGAUAAUCACGAGGACAUUCAGACUCUUUGGAUAAGAAUAGGGAACAGUUGUUUAGGAGCUAAGGACGUGGUUUGAAUUCUGAUUGCCAGCUGUAGCUGAGAUACUAGCAGAAGUUAGAGAACUGAAGUUGUUACACGUAAAAACAAGUUCAGAAACCAACUUAUUGCAGCAGGAGCUGGUAUGAAUCAUUCCACGUGACGAUGCUUUUUUGUUAUAGACAUUUGCUGGAUCAAAAACUAAAAUUCAAAGUUUAAAAAGCUGUUGCAAGAUGUCGGGAAGUGGCAUAAAUACUAAUAAGAGCAGCAUGGAAGGAAAAUAGCUUCAGUCAACUAAAGCGAUGCAUGCAAGCCUUGAUGAAUCUGUAUUGAUCGUGGUAGGUUUUGAUGGUUCUUCUUUGUUAUCAAUUAUGACUUGCUGGUAUCCUUCCAGUGAUAUUAUGGGAUCUCUUCCUGCAAUGAGUUGAAGCAUAUAGUUUAGCGGCCCAUCAGUGGGUUAGUCUACCUUCAUUGAAUCAAAGAAGGAAGUUUGGCUGGAGUAUCCUUAAAUCAUAAAAUUUUUGCAAUUGGUGGUGGAAUUGGAAUUGAAUGCUUCUCAGAAGUAUAAAUAUCCGAUUUAGGCGCUCGAAGGUGGAUCCAAGCUCCAUCCAUGAGACAUGAGAGAAAGGCUAUUGAAGUCUCAACCAAUGGGAAUUGCUGCUUGGUGUCUCUGAAGCAAGGAAACGGUGUUGCGAAAUUCAAGACUAUUGUUCUUAGCUUCUCCCAUUAGUUUAUGCUUCGGUGGUCUAUAAACAUGGAACUCUAGGAAAGGGUGGUGUGUUACAAAGAGGACCGAGUUUGGGGGUUAGUCAACCCCACAGCAUUCGGCAAAAGAUGCUUUUUCUCUGCCGUCGUUUUGUAAGUUUAGCAAUUUAUGGGCGUUUGGGGACUAGUAUUAUGCAUUAUGUUAAAUAAAAGUAAAUAAUGUACAUAAGAAAUUAAAAAUAUUGAUGUGAAUUGUCGUAAAAAGUUAGGUAGGAUCGCGAUGGAUGAGGGGAGAAGCUUAAUGGGCUGUUUGUUUGCAGGCUUGUAGCUAUUCUCCCUUCUAGGGAUAUUCUUAACUUACUCUGGGCGCAGAAAAAAAGAAAAAGAAUCUAGUGUCACUAUGAGAUAUAAUUUUUGUGGGUUUAAUAAAGAGGCAUGGUUGAAGAGGUUGGAGCACUGGAAUGUGAAAUCAAGGUUUUGUCAAGCAGAGGCGUGAAGGUUUGUGACUUUCUCCGAUAACUACUUCGUAAUUUCCUUAUUAAGAUAUUUUAGAGAGUAAAAAAAAGGUUACUUCGAGAAAUUUUAUCGAGGAGAUUUAAACAAUUUGUUAGAGAGAGAACGACCGGUUGGCUAGAGAAAAUAGUUUAGACAGUUAUUUUAAUGAGAAAAAAGUUGAAGCUUUAGAGGGGGAACUAAAGAAAAUAUUUUGGGGAGCAUAUAAGUUGGAAAGCAAGAUAUAUAAGAGCGAGAAAGGAAAGGGAGAAAAAAUCACAUGAAGGGAAACUAAGUCUUAAGAGUGAAGGAAUAUUUAUAGUGUUUUAUAAAAUCAUGGGUAAACAAUUCUAACUUUUAAAAUAGUAUCUAAAUUCUAUUUUUUUUU